GAUGAACGCUGGCGGCGUGCCUAAUACAUGCAAGUCGAGCGAACAGAUGAGGAGCUUGCUCCUCUGACGUUAGCGGCGGACGGGUGAGUAACACGUGGAUAACCUACCUAUAAGACUGGGAUAACUUCGGGAAACCGGAGCUAAUACCGGAUAAUAUAUUGAACCGCAUGGUUCAAUAGUGAAAGACGGUUUUGCUGUCUCUUAUAGCUGGAUCCGCGCCGCAUUAGCUAGUUGGUAAGGUAACGGCUUACCAAGGCAACGAUGCGUAGCCGACGUGAGAGGGGGAUCGGCCACACUGGAGCUGGAACACGGUCCAGACUCCUACGGGAGGCAGCAGUAGGGAAUCUUCCGCAAUGGGCGAAAGCCUGACGGAGCAACGCCGCGUGAGUGAUGAAGGUCUUCGGAUCGUAAAACUCUGUUAUUAGGGAAGAACAGAUGUGUAAGUAACUAUGCACGUCUUGACGGUACCUAAUCAGAAAGCCACGGCUAACUACGUG
rnacentral:rRNA from 1 species